ensembl:snRNA U2 U2 spliceosomal RNA
CUAACUUUUGAGGCUCAUUUCAAUAAAAAAAAAAUUCAACUUGGGAGUAUCUAUGCUUACCAGUUUAAUAUCUGAUACAUCUUCUAUCUGAGGACAAUAUAUUAAAUGGAUUUUUGGAACAGGGGGUUGGAAUAUGAGCUUGCUCUGUCCACUCCAUGCAUCAGCCUGGUAUUGCAAUACCUCCAGGAAUGGUGCACUGCCC